rnacentral:rRNA from 1 species
AACCUACGGGAGGCAGCAGUGGGGAAUAUUGGGCAAUGGGGGAAACCCUGACCCAGCGACGCCGCGUGAGGGAAGAAGGUUUUCGGAUUGUAAACCUCUGUCCUUGGUGACGAUAAUGACGGUAGCCAAGGAGGAAGCCACGGCUAACUACGUGCCAGCAGCCGCGGUAAUACGGAGGAUGCGAGCGUUAUCCGGAUUUAUUGGGUUUAAAGGGUGCGCGGGCGGGAGAUCAAGUCAGCGGUAAAAUGUCGGGGCUCAACCCCGGCCGGCCGUUGAAACUGGUUUUCUAGAGUUGGAGAGAGGUA